AGGCCCACCCCGCUCUCAAACGGGGACCUAGCUCAAUUGGUAGAGCACCGCCUUUGCAAGGCGGGGGUUAGGGGUUCGAUUCCCCUGGUCUCCACGUUAUGACUACUACAGCGACCCUUCACACAUCACUCGGUGACAUCGUCAUCGAGCUAUUUCCUAACCAUGCACCAAAGACUGUUGCAAACUUUGUUGAGUUAGCAACUGGUGAAAAAGAGUGGACCGAUCCACGCACUGGAAAUAAGACAAAUGCCAAUCUUUAUGACGGAACAAUCUUUCACCGUGUCAUCGACGGCUUCAUGAUUCAAGGCGGAGAUCCACUUGGUCAAGGAACUGGCGGACCUGGAUACCGCUUUGCAGAUGAGUUCCAUGGAGAGCUAGUUUUUGAUCGCCCAUACAUCCUUGCAAUGGCUAACUCAGGCCCAGGAACAAAUGGUUCACAGUUCUUUAUUACCGUUGCACCAACUACGUGGCUAAAUCGUAAGCACUCAAUCUUUGGCGAAGUAAAGGAUUCUGCUAGCCAGGCUGUGGUUGAUGCCAUUGGUAAAGCAAAGACAGGCGCGCAAGAUAAGCCAGUCACACCAAUAACAAUCAACAGCGUCACCGUUGCUUAAGCGUUCUGCUACUUAUUCUUUAAUCGCAUUAAUCUGCGGUGCAUAUCUGCUGCAGAUGAUCAUUCCAUCAAUCGAAAUGCGUUUAGUUUUA
rnacentral:tRNA from 1 species